rnacentral:rRNA from 1 species
UACGGAGGGGCUAGCGUUGUUCGGAAUUACUGGGCGUAAAGCGCACGUAGGCGGCUUUGCAAGUUAGAGGUGAAAGCCCGGGGCUCAACUCCGGAAUUGCCUUUAAAACUGCAUCGCUAGAAUUGUGGAGAGGUAAGUGGAAUUCCGAGUGUAGAGGUGAAAUUCGUAGAUAUUCGGAAGAACACCAGUGGCGAAGGCGACUUACUGGACACAUAUUGACGCUGAGGUGCGAAAGCGUGGGGAGCAAACAGGG